rnacentral:rRNA from 1 species
AUUGAACGCUGGCGGCAGGCCUAACACAUGCAAGUCGAACGAGUGGCGGACUGGUGAGUAAUUUAUGGGAAAGUGCGUGACGGAGGGGGAUCACUAGUGGACCCGGUAGCUAAUACCGCAUACCAUCGUAUGUGCUUAGAUGGUAUUAGCUAGUCGGUGGGGUAAUGGCUCACCUAGGCGACGAUCCAUAGCUGGUCUGAGAGGAUGAGCAGCCACACUGGGACUGAGACACGGCCCAGACUCCUACGGGAGGCAGCAGUGGGGAAUAUUGCACAAUGGGCGAAAGCCUGAUGCAGCCAUGCCGCGUGUAUGAAGAAGGCCUUCGGGUUGUAAAGUACUUUCAGUAGGGAGGCGUUACCGAAAGAAGAAGCACCGGCUAACUACGUGCCAGCAGCCGCGGUAAUUC